GGCUUCGUGGCCUAAUGGCUAGGGCGCUAGAUUUCGGUGCUUUCAAGCAGCAGAUUCUCUAGAGAUUGUCGGUUCGAGUCCGGCCGAAGUCG
rnacentral:tRNA from 1 species